GCGUCCAGCGUUAUCUGUGUCGCGAGCGAUGAGCGAGGGGCCAGGCGAGACAAAGCCCAAUGUCUACUGUGGGAAAUGAAAGAUCGAUGCGACGUUAAGAAACGGACAAAACGCGCGCACACGCACAAAUCAACAUAAACAUCCAGACCAAAUUUGAAAGACAUUUGAAAUGAGUUUUUUUCAAUACUAAACUUUGUGGUUGUUGAAUCAUGUUUUGCAAUUAGAUGUACAGUACUUAACGACUGUGGAUUCUAGAUAUAAAACACUUAUCUUGCAGUUAUAUAAAGAAGAAGUCACACAAGACUAACAAGUUUCAUGUAAAACUCUUCAGUAAUUAAAGCAAAUAAUGCCUGCCGUGACAGCUGGAUCUCAAGUGUGCAAAGUAUUCCUCUGUGAGUACCCACGUGAAAGAUCACGGCUACGAAAAUGAUGACGUCAUUAACUGUACUCUUGAAACCAAAUGCACGCUACAGUCUCGUCUGGCUGACUGCUUUGAUGUCGCUGGUGCUACAGACAGUUUCCGGUUUGGCUUGUGUCCAGUGUGUUUCAUUGAACACCCCAGAUUGUCAGUAUGGCGACAUCCCGGCCACUCCAUGUACUGGUCAGCAUAAAAACGCCAAGUACUGUUUCAAGACUCGUGCAAAGAUUGUCCCCACUGGCCACGGUGAGGUCGUUAGCCGAGGAUGUACUGACCUCCUCCAGAGUAACUGUACAGAGCAGCUUGUCGGAGGGGAAUUCUACUGGAAGUGCUACUACUCUUGCUCUGAAGACGGCUGCAACAGAUCCCCCCUCACGAUCAAGGCGGCGAACUUUGCUAUGGUCUUUGUCGUCUCAAGCUUCACUGCUGCCUUACUUUCAUGGGGAAAGGAUCUUCUCUCUGUUCUGGACUAAAGCAAUAGAGAAGAAUAUCUAGUCUUUUUGUUGCUAUGGGCAAGAUGUUUCUGAACGAUUUAUUAUAGAAACAUUGUAAGGAAAUGAAUGGGGAAUUAGAAGAAGAUCACAGAACAAGAGGAAGCAUGCUUCAACUCAAUUGGCAUUUACAUAAGCAAAUGUUGAUCCACUAUUUUGGAUACAGCUGAUUCAAUUCUUGUUCACAAGUAAUGUUGGGCAUUAAUCUUUGACAACUUUGGAGUAAUUUGUUAUUUAGUGAACUUUUAGAUUGGCUGCUAACUAACAGCGGCGAGGUGUCGAAACAUGUUUUCAUGUGUCUACAGAGGUUUAAGUGUCUCCAAUUUAAUUAAGAGUGUCCACUUCAAUCAAGUAUGGCCAUUCUAAUCAGAACUAUACACUCGAUCAUAGAAGUUUCAUCUUUUAUUACCGAUUACAUAAGGCCAUUGCAUAUUUGCGAAUUCUUCAGAGGCUGAAAACUAUAAAUAGUCAUAAUUUGCUUUAUAUUUGGUCAAUAGGCCGCCCCAUUACGUGUAGGCUUCUAAUGUACUCUAGUAACUCUCCAAUAUAUGAACAUUGUACAUAUCUAGCUCCACUUGGAUCAAGCAAAGUUGUUUCUAGAUGUUACAUAUCCCCACAAACUAUCAUUCAAUGGAACUGGUUCAACGCAGCUCCAUUAUGUACUCUAGACAGAAAUUGCAAGAGAGAAAGGCGUCACGGGCUAGAUAUGACCCGAGGACCGUAGUUAGAUCAUCAUUGGGUUAAAUGGUCCUUGCUAAAUAUACACAAUUAAAUUUGAUAUGAUGAAUUUAUGAUAUGUUUGUGAAACUUGUCUACUUGUUUUUUGCAAUGUUCAGUUAAACCUGCAUCGCAGUAUAUCUUUUUUUUUUAAAGCUCAUUUGUACAGUAUUUAUAGCAUAAACAAUUUCUAAAAAUUUUUGCCAGAACAUGUGGAUAAUGAAACAGACAGACAGGCAGGACAGAAAGACAAAAAAAAAAAAAAAAAAACAGACGCAAAAUGAUGGUGUCAUUUUUUUCAAGAAACAAAAUUUAUAUUGUAUAUGUUUAUUAAUCAAUAUUAAUAUUUGAAAACUGAUAAAAAAAGGGGAACCUUAUUAACAAUUUUUAAAAAGUACAACUUCAAAUUAUGACAUUGAAUACAGAGUUUGCAACAACAAAAAAAUCGCCUGCAGAAAAUUAGCUUAAAACAUUUUCUUGCGUAAAACAUUUUAAUACUUCUACGCCAACGCGAUUCUACCCGUCUUUACUGUAUCGAAAUGUUUUCCCAGGCUCUGUACCAUUGUUUGAUGUAGCCUAAGUCUUCUACGUGACCAAAGCAGGACUGCUGCAAUGCUUGUCGCUCAACUCCAAAUAUGAUCUUGCGACAAUUAGGCGCAUUACAGUAGACGCUCAAUCUUCAGUAUCGGCAUUUAAAGCUCAACUCAACAUGUUGUGUGAGCUGUAGACGCCAGUAGAGUGCAUUUCAGAAACUCAGAAAGUAAGAAAGUCAGAAACUUAGAAACUCAGAAAUAACAAGGUCCCGAGGACGUGGUGGAUGAGUGGUUAGGCGCUUGGCUUCUAAACCUGGGGUCCUGGGUUUAAAUCUAGGUGAAGAUUGGAUUUUGAAUUUCGGAUUUUUAGGGCGCUCCUGGGUCCACCCAACUCUAAUGGGUACCUGACUUUAAUUGGGGAAAUUAAAGGCAGUUGGUCGUUGUACUGGCGACAUGACACCCUGUUCGCUAAAAGAUGGCCAAAGAAACAGUCUUAAACAUGACCUUAAAAUGAUCUGCCCUAUAGAUCGCAAGGUAUGCAAGGGUUUCGCCGAAGGAACUAUCUAACCUAAGCGAUUGUACCAUAUAGUCUAGGAUCUCUGAAUUCUGCCGACAACUGUUGACUGCUGAAUGAGAUAUGUCAAUGCCUUGCUUGUUAUUUGAAAUUCUCUGUAUUUACAUGCCUAGAUGACUAAAUUUGUCCACAAUUUUUAAUAUUGGUGAGAUGAUGGAGAGGUCAACCGAGUGAUUAUGUUCUCUCUUUUUUUUUUUACAACUAAAAACAAGCGAACAUGUUUUUAAACAAACAACAUUUACAGACGCAUACACAGAAUAAUCCGUGUAAUAACAUGAAUUCCUGUCAAUAUAAAGCUAUCAAUUUCCGUGUGCAUAAUGCAACAAAACUAGAAGACAGCGAUUCAAAUAAAGGUUGCAUCCCUUUGUCAGGUUGCAAGGUUUUAUUUAUCUCAGUUUCUUCCCUUGUCUUCCCCGCUUCCCGCAACCCUUUCCAUCCCUUCCCCACCUCGACUCCCUUUAUGUUCUUAGCAUUGAACUCCUCCAACCCGAUCCUUCCCCCCCCGCGUAUGACAUCUCCCGGGACAGUAGGGAGAAUAGAUUAAAUUAACUGUUCAAGACAAGACGCUCUCUCUCUCACUCACGCAAGCACAUACACAGGUGGAGAGAAGAAACAACGUACAAAUAUAUCGAGACACCCCAACAAAUUUGUUUGUAUAUAAAACAUCCAUCUGGUAUAGAAAACAUCGUAUUCUGGUUGCUUACACUCGAUACCCGUACAACAGUAAAACUCUAAAUGAAAAAGUCUGAACCUUAAAGGAACGAAUUUUUCUUGAUGUCAGCAUCUUGUAUUUUAAAAUGAAAACAACAGCUGAAAUCUUUUUUUUUUUAAUGAGACCACUAAUUGCAGUAGUUAUUGAUCGGUCGUUGGAUUGUAGUGACAUAUGCCGAGAAAACCACUAGCCCUAUACUAUUUUUAAGUAUAGAACUUGAAAUAGAUUGAAUUUAUUUAUUUUGUGAACAAAAUUAAAUAGAAUUUUUAUUAUAAUAUAGACAAAAUCAACUUGUGAUGGAAUGUAGUAGACGUUAGUCAAAGAUGGUAUUUUGAACAAAAUCUAAUUCACAACAAACACACUCCCGUUUCUUUGGGUCGUCUCUCGUUCUUAACAUAAAUUAUGGCAGAGCCGUUUAUCUUGCAUCAUUCUACAAAACUAACAAUUAAUGCUCCCUUUCUUCAUCAUCGCCAUGAAAACCCACACUCCCUAACAGUAAUGCGCAUAUCAAAACGUGUGGACGUGAAUCUCAAGUAGGCCUACUCUCUAACGGUAUCUCUCUGAACUGGAGCAGCUCGUGCUCAUUAAGAAUAUAUAAACUAGUUUACAGAGAGCAGGAAGUUUUCUAAUGUCUUAUCAAUCGUCAGAAAUACAGAGCCAUUAGUGCGUCUUGUAAGACUUAUUGAUUAUGUGAUGCCAGCUUCUCAACUUUUUUAAAAGCAUUCACAAGUCUCCUUAGCUCAGCCGUCUGAUGAACCUGUAGUAUGUCUUUUAAAUUCUAAGUCUAAGUGGUUCUCUCUGUUUUAAAGUUUCGCAAUCCAGCCAUAUCUUUUCGCGGAUAUGGCUGUAUAUUAGCCAAGAGUUGCACAACUUACGACCCGCGGGUCACAUUACCAGCACGUGACAAGAUGCUAUACGGACCCUCGUAGAGUCUCGGUUAUUUUCGAAUCGACGAUUUUUUUCGGUAAUGUGGCCCGUGACGUGUGUGAUGGGAGAUCGCAUAGGUUGCAGCCAAAAACAGGUUGGCACUAGUGUUUUAGUCCUUAUAUUUGGUCCUCAACCAUCUAUCCUGGUCCUCAACUCUGUGGUCAGGAGAUUUUAUGGGCUACAACCCAAAACAGGUUGGCACCACCAUUUUGGUCCUUAUAUUUGGUCCUCAACCAUCUGUCCAGGUCCUCAGCUAUGUGGACGUCCUAUCCAGCCAAUGCCAUCUUUUAGGGUGAACAAAAUAUUUGUAGUUGUACAUGUUUGAUAAAUCAUCUGCCACUCAAACCAAUGCCUUCAGUGUCCGAAAAUGUCAGUUGUUAGUAAGGGAUAGAUGGCUUUCAGCGUCCGAAAUGGUCAAUUGUUAGUAAGGGAUAGAUGGCUUUCAGUGUCCGAAAAGGUCAGUUGUUAGUAAGGGAUAGAUGGUUUUCAGUGUCCGAAAAGGUCAGUUGUUAGUAAGAGAUAGAUGGCGUUCAGUGUCCGAAAAGGUCAGUUGUUAGUAAGGGAUAGAUGGCGUUCAGUGUCCGAAAAGGUCAGUUGUUAGUAAGGGAUAGAUGGCUGUCAGUGUCCGAAAAGGUCAGUUGUUAGUAAGGGAUAGAUGACUUUCAGUGUCCGAAAAGGUCAGUUGUUAGUAAGAGAUAGAUGGCUUUCAGUGUCCGAAAGGGUCAGUUGUAAGUAAGGAAUAGAUGGCUUUCAGUGUCCGAAAGGGUCAGUUGUUAGUAAGGAAUAGAUGGCUUUCAGUGUCUGAAAGGGUCAGUUGUUAGUAAGGAAUAGAUGGCUUUCAGUGUCCGAAAGGGUCAGUUGUUAGUAAGGAAUAGAUGGCUUUCAGUGUCUGAAAGGGUCAGUUGUUAGUAAGGAAUAGAUGGCUGAGGUCCAAUAAAAGGAAUAAAACAUUGGUUCCUAACCUGUUUCGGACUGAAGCCCUUAAUUCUCCUGACCAAAGAGUUACAUACUUUUAAUACGUUUUUUUUUUCACGCGUCACCUGUUCAUGUUUUAAUAUUACUAUUGCUUUGCUAUAUAGCUCAAUCACUACAUGGUCAGAGACUGUUACAGAACAUUUGACGUCAAAUUUGUUUUCUAUCACCAUAUUUAAAAAAAAGUAUUUAAUAGAGAUAUCAUUCUUAUAAGACAUUUUAUCUACGCAAUUAAGUUAAAGUUUUCUUCGAAUUGCAAUCCUGUAAUAAUUCGGUACCAUGAGCAAGUUCAGAGAUGAUCAAUGUUUACUUUAAUUCAAUCAAAUCCUUUUUCCAGUGACAUAAGUGUGUAGUCUACUACAUUAAGCUAGUACUAAAUCAUGCUUUUGGUCACAUUUGUACAACGGAACAACUGAAAAAACUAAAAACAGUCAACGCUAUGUAUGACUCUUUAUUGUUUAUGUUUUUUUUUUUUUCACGAAUGCAUCAUAACAAAUGAAUAUAUUAUAUAUAAUAAUAUAAUCACUGUAAUUACCCUAUUAUUUGAUUACAAUAAAAUCAUUAUGAAAAAGAUUUUAUUGUGAAAUAUAAUAGGUUGUUAAUAAUUAUAACUAUAUUUUUGUGUGUUCUAAGUAGACCGCUAGGAGAUAAUGCCAGUCUCGGCAUAGCUUCUGAUGUGUCAGGUUUAAAGCCACUGAGGCCAGUAUUCAAUAUUUCUACCUUGUAUAUGUUGCUUAUUUUGUGUAUUAUUUGCUAACUUAUAAAAAGACCUACACUUUACCUACGUUUCGUCAUUUUACAAAAUAUGUCAGCAAAAUAUGUCAGCAUACUAUGUCAGCAUACUAUGUCAGCAUACUAUGUCAGCAUACUAUAUCAGCAUACUAUGUCAGCAUACUAUGUCAGCAUACUAUGUCACAGCGAUGAUUUCAGAAAGUUUGGGUUAGGCCUAUCAAAAUUUUGUUUUUGAAUCAACAAUUUUUCUUUAAAUUAAAAAGUUGUCUUUAAAUCACUGUUCCAUCCCGAGACGUCACAAUCCUCUUUCAGAUUUUGUCUAUAUCCGAACUCUCCUAUACAAGAAUCACUUUAGAUCAUUUCUUUAUGCUCUAUAUUGAAGAGGGUAACAAAAAAAUCUGCAAGCGACUAGAUUGCCCUUUGAGGACACUAGAUGAAACUAUUUUGUUGACAUUUUCACAAAACCGGCAAGCCAUAACAGAAUCCCGAGACUGGCAUUAAGAAAACUUGACUCCCUAAUGACUUGAUUGGUACCAAUGGAAUCCCCCCUCUUCUGCCAGUGACCUAUAUCUUACUGUUGCUACUGGUGUUUUAAAACAUUUAAUUAUAUCUCUGUAAACAAAGUUUAUAAAGGAGAGCCACAACCUCCUCUAAUGCUACUAAGACAAAGAACGUAAUUCCUACGUUGUCUGAUGGAGACAUAGGAUCCAGACACACACACAAAUAAAUAAAUAACAAAACUUUAGUUGGAGCUGAUGUCAUAACAGUGUCGAUAAUCAGACAAGGCAAGAUUUUUUUUUUCUUCUACUUUUUACAAUGGAAAUUCUAAAUAGAUAGAGCUUCUCAAUCUUAUCAUUUUGUAAUGCAAUAAUAAAAAAAAAGUCUAUCAACAAUGAGAUUUGGCUUGUAAACCCUUCCCCCCCCCCCUACCAAGGGUGAAGAGAAUAAAACAUAGGUCAUUUAUAGAGAAGUUUUAAUCUUGAAGAUCUUUUUUUUUUCAUUUGAGAUUUUUCUAUGAAAAAAAGGACAUUGAUCAUUUUGAUCUGUCAAACAAUAAAAUGAAUACAUUACUGUAUCAAUAUCUCCGAACGAACCCGAGUGUGGCUCUAUUUGUGUAUGCGCAAGUAACUAUUUGAUGUACUGUCCUGCAUGGAACAUAAUAAGUCAAACUGCACACAAGUAGAUAAAUGUUUUAUCAGCUGGUGGAGGGUGUUGAAUCAUGAGGGGAAAAAAGAACACUCCCAAGUCAUCUUGGAGGCAUUCAGAAUUGCGAAUGAAUUCUGCGCGACUGCAGCUAAGUAGAUUUCUAAAAUCUUGCAGUACGUGCUGGCGAAAGACAUUAAACGUCCUGGAGCUGAGAGACCUAGACAUGACAAUAAAAUGUGCCUCAAGAGCUGAGAAAUUGCUUUUAUUAUUGUGUCAAAAAGACAAUAACAACAUUUUCAUUUUGGACAAAAGGGUAGAAAUGUAUUUUCCCCCUUGUCUAGAAUUCAGUGUUCGUGUACAAAUCUUUUCCCCCACUAUUUUCCUAAGGGUACCAUACAAGUUUUGAUGGGGAGUCUAGUCUAAAUGGCGGUCUACGCGGUAGAUAAUCCAUGUUGAUGUUAUUGCAAUGUUUAAUAUUUGAAGAUAUAAUUCAUGUGAUCUACUUUUGUGUGUGUGUGUGUGUUGACGUCAGCUUUCUGUGUCUUUGUUUCAAGAUUAAAUUCAAUGUUUUCAAUCAAAA